AUUGAACGCUGGCGGCAUGCCUUACACAUGCAAGUCGAACGGCAGCACGGGUGCUUGCACCUGGUGGCGCGUGGCGAACGGGUGAGUAAUACAUCGGAACACGUCCUGUAGUGGGGGAUAGCCCGGCGAAAGCCGGAUUAAUACCGCAUACGAUCCACGGAUGAAAGCGGGGGACCUUCGGGCCUCGCGCUAUAGGGUUGGCCGAUGGCUGAUUAGCUAGUUGGUGGGGUAAAGGCCUACCAAGGCGACGAUCAGUAGCUGGUCUGAGAGGACGACCAGCCACACUGGGACUGAGACACGGCCCAGACUCCUACGGGAGGCAGCAGUGGGGAAUUUUGGACAAUGGGCGAAAGCCUGAUCCAGCAAUGCCGCGUGUGUGAAGAAGGCCUUCGGGUUGUAAAGCACUUUUGUCCGGAAAGAAAUCCUUGACUCUAAUACAGUCGGGGGAUGACGGUACCGGAAGAAUAAGCACCGGCUAACUACGUG
rnacentral:rRNA from 1 species